AAGACCUACAAAUUCAUCAAGUGAUUUAUACAAAAUUAUUACUUUUGGAAUUAAUAUAUCAAUAUAAAUUUAUUCAUUAUAAAAAUUUCGUAUGAGAGAAAGCUUUUUUAUUAUGAUUUGGCAUUAUGAAAAGAGAUUUUGGGAGUUUAUGCAAAAAUGAAUUCAAUUCUACUCUGCAAUCAAAUUGCCAGUUACAAUUUGAUUAUUUUCUCGUGCAUUUCUUUUUCUUCCUUUUCACACAAAUCUAUGAAGGAUUUUUUUUUUUAAUUUAGGUUGCAUUAUCAAACUUGGAAAUAGAAUUAUUAUUUUUUGAACACAAAUUGAGAUUUCACAAUCUCUAAAAUAAAUGAGGAAAAAUUUCAGCUCAUAAAUAAACAAUUUGUCACUAUAUAUGAACAACCUCAGAAAUUUCCAGAAUUAAAAAUCACUCAAAUCAUCUCUCAAAAAUUUCAGCUCAUAAACAAAAUAAAUACCGGCAAGUGACAACGAAGUAGCAGUAGACGAAGAUCCGAGAGAGCAAGUGCAGAUCCGAGAGAGCAAGUGCAUAUCCAAGAGAGCAAGUGCAGAUCCAAGAGAGCAAGUGCAGAUCCGAGAGAGCAAAGAUGAAGUAGCAGCAGCUGGACGGAGUCGGAGUAGCAGCAACGGUUACGACGAAGAAAGAGCAGCGGCAGUGGCUAGCACACCAAGAGCGACCUAGAGAGAGAUUUGCUGCAACUGGAUUGAGAAAAUUAAGGGGAAAGAGGGAGUUACAGUGAACGGGAUUGAGAGUGAGGGCUGCAGUGAAGAAAAAAGUGAGGGCUGCGGGGUCACGAUUUCUUUGUUGUUUUUUAAUUCAUUUUAAGGUUUAGUUUGUAAAAUUUGGAGAACAUGUUUAACUUGUUUUCAAUUGUAUAGUUAUAAUAAUGAAUCCGAAUUUUGUGUUUUGUAAUUUGUUUUGUGAAAAAAAUCCACCAAACAUGUUUUAUGUGUGUAUUAUAAAAAUGAAAACGAAAACAUGACUUGCAAAACGGUACCAAACAGGCCCUAAGAAUCUAAAAAAAAAAACAAUUAUUAGGCAGUGGGGUUAGACUCGACCUGCAUUGGGGCAAAGAUUGAGUCGAGUUUCUCUAAACAAGAAAGAAGAAAUGCUAAGUGUCUAGAGAGGCAAGAGAAAGAGAAGAAAACGACAGCAUGUGUUCCACUAUGGGUGCAUUUGGGAUUGAGAUACUGUAACUUUUAAGCUGCAACUGCUGUGGAAAAAAAGUUGUAACUAUGAAAUUAAAGUUAAUAAUAUAUAGUAAAUAUAUAUUUUAAAUAAUAAUUUUGAUAAAAUUAUUAAAGAUAUAAUAGAUUCUUCAUUAUAAAAGUAAAAAAUCAUAUCAACAUAGUUUUCAAGUUACAACAGUUAAUGUUUACCAAAUAUUUUACUGUUGUACUUUUUAAACUACAGUUGUCUAACCUCAAUCUCAAACGUCAAACGUACCCUAUCUCCCGCCCUUUAUAAUUAAAAAAAUAAUAAAGAACUGAGAUGAAAUUGACAAAAUCUCUUACUCUAUCAGCUUGUCCUCACGCAUUCCAUUUUCGCCAUUUUCUUCCUUCUUUCGAAUAGCUUUCUUGUACAAGAUCGCUGCUGACUAUGACACAGCCGCUGAAGAUGACACGGUCAUAUUUGCAUCAUAAUAUCAUGGAGAGGAACCAAGAUGUUUUCUGUAACACCCCAGCCCGAACUCUAAGGGCAAAUCUGACCACAACGCACAUAUGAAUUUAAAUAACUCCUUACAACCGAUAAAAUUCAAGUCUCAAAUACAAGAGUCAGCGGAAUAACUUGAAAGUUUACCCAAACCAUCUACCAUCCUCAAUUCAAAUCCAUUUUUUCACUCAUCACGAAUCAAUCCUGACUUCUAAAAACUGAAUUACAAUAAACUAUAAUGAGUACAAGACCCAGUAAGCAAACUAGUUUUUUUUAUACUAAAAUACAUACAUACUUAUAUAUAAUGCAAAUUGACGAUAUGUCAUGGUCUUUUGGAAAUACUGUUAACAAAUUCAUAAAAAUCUCUUUAUGUCGCUUUCAAACUUUCUCAUUUUCUUUCAAUGAAAUACAUAUUCUGCAAUUGUGGCACUUUGCAACGCUCGGGCCCUUAAGAGGUGGCCCCCGCAUAAUUUCAAGAGGUGGCCUCCUCACAACUUCAAGAGGUGGCCCCCAAUGCAAAUUCUCAUAAAACAUAAAUCUCAUUUGCUAAAAUUCAUUUUCUCAUUCAUAGAAAACUCAAUGCAUUUCCUUGCUCAUGCCAAUGAACCAUCACACAUACAUAUGCCUAUGUACAUAAUCACGCCCAAUACAUAACAACACAUCACAUAAACAUAUGAGUAGAGACAUAUAAAUCUAUAUUCGUACAUAUCAAAAUAGGCUUUUCAUACAAGUCAAACAUAUAUAUUGUUUAUUGUGAUUCGUUUUAAAGUCUAGUUUACUUAUCUCUUGGCAUCCUCAUGCAACAAAUGCGUACUGAUAUCAUCAACUAAAAUCAUCAAUAAAUAUCUCAUAAGAUAUAAUCAAGCCUCAAUCAUAAACUCUAAUAUCCUCAACUAUCUCAAUUUCAACAUCUUAUAAGCUCAACCUCAAAUGUCCUCAAUAAUCGGCCCUCAAAACAUAACAGUCCAUAUUCUCUGAUUUUUAAUAAAUUAUUCCCUGAUUGGAAAAAUCUCAAAUUUUACAAACAUAUUCUGACAUAUUGAAAGUUCAUUGAUAAAAAUUUCAUAAUUUGAUUCCUUCAAAAACUAUUGAAAAUAAUUGACGUUUCAGAUAUCAUCAAUACUGUCAAACAAUUUUCUGUUUUGAACACACUUGAUUUAAAAAUACAAAAUAAUUUAUUAUUUUAUCAUAAAAUCUUGAAAAUUUACAAAAUCGUACUAGACAUAUAUAAAAAUCAUUGACCCAAAUUUCAUAAUUUUUGAAGAAGUAUAGCUAUGGUAAAAAUAAUUUCGUAAUUCACGUUAUUCACGGAAAUCAGAAAAUUUCCAGAUUUUCAGACUUGACUUUGAAAAAUUGUAAUUAAUUGAAAUCUUAUCCGAUUAACUUGAAACAAGUUUCAAAACAUUUUAGAUGAUGUCUACUUUAACAUAUCCAAAAAUCAGAAUCAAUUUGUACAAAUUACUAUGAUUUUCGUAAUAAUUCGUUGUCAGCAUAUUUCUACCAAAUCUUAAGUUUCUACUUCUAUUGUAGUCGUGUUUCUCCACAACAAAUUAAUAAAAACUAAGAAUUAAAACUUACCUCCAAAUCCAAAUCUUCUCUCAACAAUACCCAAUUCAAAUUAUGUAAUUUGAUCUCAUGUGUUGUCAUGGCAGAACAAAGAAGAAGAAGAAGAUUUUCUUCUUCUUCUUUUUCUUUUCUUUUCUCUCCAUCUCUCUCUCUUUUUGUCUUUUUU
rnacentral:lncRNA from 1 species